UUUUACCCGAGGUCUUAACAAUUUAAGUCACUUUUUUGCUUUCCUUUUUCUUAAAUACUAGGAAUUUCGAGAGACGCAAAUGGGGAUUAUCUUAUCAGAAACGAAAGCCUCUGUAGACCCAGCUCUCUGAUGUCUUAAGUGAGCUUUGUUGAGCAUUCAGGCAGCGGCAGGAAUAUAACUGAAUUCUCCAUUUUCAGCUGAAACGUUGACAAGUCUCAGCCGUCUGGGAACCGACCUCUCUACACCCUCAGGCUCUUGUCGGCAGCUGGAACCAGGGCUGUGGGGUGUUACCAGGCACAUUCUUUAAAAUGUGAGCGAAACAAAACAACCAACCACACCCUGAAAUCUGUCCUGCAAACUGCCCAUGACUUCUCCACGGUUCCACCUUUCUCUCUAAUGGAGCAAAUGAAAGACCACUGGAGUGACAAGGAGAGUUGCCACUUUCAAUGGCUGUCGCCGAGCCGGAUGGAGCCCCCUUGCGGUGGACAAGGUGGAGGUGGGGAGAAUAUUAGACAGCCGUCUCAAAAACAGAGCACCCUUAUGCUUUAUAGAAGAGUUUUGUUACGAUGAUGUGUUUUGUAGACAAUUGGAAAAUAUGGAUCGAAAAGAAAAUGCAAGCCCACGGUAAUCCCACUUCUGUUGACAUUUUAGUGUGUGCCCCCGUCCAACGUUUUCUGUGCACAUUCACUUCCCUAAAAGGAACCAAAAUGAAAUCAUAGUGAACCUUUGUUUUCACAACCUGCUCUUUCCCCCGUAACAGAAUAUCGGAGACAUCUUUUCAUGUCAUUAAAUCCUCUUUAACAUUA